rnacentral:rRNA from 1 species
UACGUAGGGUGCAAGCGUUGUCCGGAAUUAUUGGGCGUAAAGGGCUCGUAGGCGGUUGGUCACGUCGGGAGUGAAAACUCAGGGCUCAACCCUGAGCGUGCUUCCGAUACGGGCCGACUAGAGGUAUGCAGGGGAGAACGGAAUUCCUGGUGUAGCGGUGGAAUGCGCAGAUAUCAGGAGGAACACCGAUGGCGAAGGCAGGUCUCUGGGCCGAUACUGACGCUGAGGAGCGAAAGCGUGGGGAGCGAACAGG